UGGGGAAUUUUGCACAAUGGGGGAAACCCUGAUGCAGCGACGCCGCGUGAUUUAGAAGGCCUUCGGGUUGUAAAAAUCUUUUGUAUAGGAAGAAAAUGACAGUACUAUACGAAUAAGGACCGGCUAAUUACGUGCCAGCAGCCGCGGUAAUACGUAAGGUCCGAGCGUUGUCCGGAAUCAUUGGGCGUAAAGGGUACGUAGGCGGGUAAGCAAGUUAGAAGUGAAAUCCUAUAGCUCAACUAUAGUAAGCUUUUAAAACUGCUCAUCUUGAGGUAUGGAAGGGAAAGUGGAAUUCCUAGUGUAGCGGUGAAAUGCGCAGAUAUUAGGAGGACUACCGGUGGCGAAGGCGACUUUCUGGCCAUCACCUGCCGCUGAGGUACGGAAGCGUGGGUAGCAAACAGG
rnacentral:rRNA from 1 species